AUUGAACGCUGGCGGCAUGCCUAACACAUGCAAGUCGAACGAGUGGCGGACGGGUGAGUAAUGUCUGGGAAACUGCCCUAUGGAUGGGGAUAACUACUGGAAACGGUAGCUAAUACCGCAUACCAUCGGAUGUGCCCAGCUGGGAUUAUCUAGUAGGUAGGGUAACGGCUUACCUAGGCGACGAUCCCUAGCUGGUCUGAGAGGGUGACCGGCCACACUGGAACUGAGACACGGUCCAGACUCCUACGGGAGGCAGCAGUGGGGAAUAUUGCACAAUGGGCGAAAGCCUGAUGCAGCAAUGCCGCGUGUAUGAAGAAGGCCUUCGGGUUGUAAAGUACUGUCAGCGAGGAGGCGUUACUCGCACAAGAAGCACCGGCUAACUCCGUGCCAGCAGCCGCGGUAAUAC
rnacentral:rRNA from 1 species